AUUGAACGCUGGCGGCAUGCCUUACACAUGCAAGUCGAACGGCAGCACGGGAGCAAUCCUGGUGGCGAGUGGCGAACGGGUGAGUAAUAUAUCGGAACGUGCCCAGUCGUGGGGGAUAACGUAGCGAAAGCUACGCUAAUACCGCAUACGAUCUAUGGAUGAAAGCGGGGGAUCGCAAGACCUCGCGCGAUUGGAGCGGCCGAUAUCAGAUUAGGUAGUUGGUGAGGUAAGGGCUCACCAAGCCGACGAUCUGUAGCUGGUCUGAGAGGACGACCAGCCACACUGGGACUGAGACACGGCCCAGACUCCUACGGGAGGCAGCAGUGGGGAAUUUUGGACAAUGGGCGNAACCCGCUGAUCCAGCAAUGCCGCGUGC
rnacentral:rRNA from 1 species